CAGAGUUUUUGUCAUGGCUCAGGACGAACGCUGGCGGCGUGCUAAUACAUGCAAGUCGAGCGGACAGAUGGGAGCUUGCUCCCUGAUGUUAGCGGCGGACGGGUGAGUAACACGUGGGUAACCUGCCUGUAAGACUGGGAUAACUCCGGGAAACCGGGGCUAAUACCGGAUGCUUGUUUGAACCGCAUGGUUCAAACAUAAAAGGUGGCUUCGGCUACCACUUACAGAUGGACCCGCGGCGCAUUAGCUAGUUGGUGAGGUAAUGGCUCACCAAGGCGACGAUGCGUAGCCGACCUGAGAGGGUGAUCGGCCACACUGGGACUGAGACACGGCCCAGACUCCUACGGGAGGCAGCAGUAGGGAAUCUUCCGCAAUGGACGAAAGUCUGACGGAGCAACGCCGCGUGAGUGAUGAAGGUUUUCGGAUCGUAAAGCUCUGUUGUUAGGGAAGAACAAGUACCGUUCGAAUAGGGCGGUACCUUGACGGUACCUAACCAGAAAGCCACGGCUAACUACGUGCCAGCAGCCGCGGUAAUACGUAGGUGGCAAGCGUUGUCCGGAAUUAUUGGGCGUAAAGGGCUCGCAGGCGGUUUCUUAAGUCUGAUGUGAAAGCCCCCGGCUCAACCGGGGAGGGUCAUUGGAAACUGGGGAACUUGAGUGCAGAAGAGGAGAGUGGAAUUCCACGUGUAGCGGUGAAAUGCGUAGAGAUGUGGAGGAACACCAGUGGCGAAGGCGACUCUCUGGUCUGUAACUGACGCUGAGGAGCGAAAGCGUGGGGAGCGAACAGGAUUAGAUACCCUGGUAGUCCACGCCGUAAACGAUGAGUGCUAAGUGUUAGGGGGUUUCCGCCCCUUAGUGCUGCAGCUAACGCAUUAAGCACUCCGCUGGGGAGUACGGUCGCAAGACUGAAACUCAAAGGAAUUGACGGGGGCCCGCACAAGCGGUGGAGCAUGUGGUUUAAUUCGAAGCAACGCGAAGAACCUUACCAGGUCUUGACAUCCUCUGACAAUCCUAGAGAUAGGACGUCCCCUUCGGGGGCAGAGUGACAGGUGGUGCAUGGUUGUCGUCAGCUCGUGUCGUGAGAUGUUGGGUUAAGUCCCGCAACGAGCGCAACCCUUGAUCUUAGUUGCCAGCAUUCAGUUGGGCACUCUAAGGUGACUGCCGGUGACAAACCGGAGGAAGGUGGGGAUGACGUCAAAUCAUCAUGCCCCUUAUGACCUGGGCUACACACGUGCUACAAUGGACAGAACAAAGGGCAGCGAAACCGCGAGGUUAAGCCAAUCCCACAAAUCUGUUCUCAGUUCGGAUCGCAGUCUGCAACUCGACUGCGUGAAGCUGGAAUCGCUAGUAAUCGCGGAUCAGCAUGCCGCGGAGAAUACGUUCCCGGCCCGUGUACUCGCCGCCCGUCACCCCACGUCCAGAGUAACACCACGGCGCAGGUGAAGUCGCAACAAGGAAACAGCACAUCGCAGAGUUAACCGUG
rnacentral:rRNA from 1 species